CACGUAGGGCGCAAGCGUUGUCCGGAAUUAUUGGGCGUAAAGAGCUCGUAGGCGGUCUGUUGCGUCCGCUGUGAAAACUCGGGGCUUAACCCCGAGCCUGCAGUGGAUACGGGCAGACUAGAGGUAGGUAGGGGAGAAUGGAAUUCCUGGUGUAGCGGUGGAAUGCGCAGAUAUCAGGAGGAACACCAAUAGCGAAGGCAGCUCGCUGGGACGGUACUGACGCUGAGGUGCGAAAGCGUGGGGAGCAAAUAGG
rnacentral:rRNA from 1 species